UGGGGAAUAUUGCGCAAUGGUCGAAAGACUGACGCAGCGACGCCGCGUGUGGGAGGAAGCCUUUCGGGGUGUAAACCACUGUCAGGGGGGAAGAACCUCGCAGUCGUCAAUAGCGGCUGCGAUUGACGGUACCCCCAGAGGAAGCGCCGGCUAACUCCGUGCCAGCAGCCGCGGUAAGACGGAGGGCGCAAGCGUUGUUCGGAAUUACUGGGCGUAAAGGGCGGGCAGGCGGUCUGUUAAGUCUUUUGUGAAAAUCCGGGGCUCAACCCCGUGAAACGCAGAAGAUACUGGCAGACUUGAGACCAGUAGAGGCUAGCGGAAUUCCUGGUGUAGCGGUGGAAUGCGUAGAUAUCAGGAAGAACACCUGUGGCGAAGGCGGCUAGCUGGGCUGGAUCUGACGCUCAUCCGCGAAAGCGUGGGGAGCAAACAGGAUUAGAUACCCCUGUAGUCC
rnacentral:rRNA from 1 species